rnacentral:rRNA from 1 species
GAUGAACGCUAGCGGGAGGCUUAACACAUGCAAGUCGAGGGGCAUCACGAGGUAGCAAUACUUUGGUGGCGACCGGCGCACGGGUGAGUAACACGUAUGCAACCUUCCCUGUACAGGGGGAUAACCCGGAGAAAUUCGGACUAAUACCCCAUGAUGAUAUUAUGGGGCAUCCUUUAAUAUUUAAAGCUCUGGCGGUACAGGAUGGGCAUGCGCGACAUUAGCUAGUUGGUAAGGUAACGGCUUACCAAGGCGACGAUGUUUAGGGGACCUGAGAGGGUUGUCCCCCAACUGGUACUGAGACACGGACCAGACUCCUACGGGAGCAGCAGUGAGGAAUAUUGGUCAAUGGGCGCAAGCCUGAACCAGCCAUCCCGCGUGCAGGAAGACGGCCCUAUGGGUUGUAAACUGCUUUUCCAGGGAGAGAAACUUACGCACGUGUUGCGUGACUGACGGUACCUGGGAAUAAGCAUCGGCUAACUCCGUGCCAGCAGCCGCGGU